ACUUCUUCAUUGUGUUUCAAAAAAGCGUACUUAAGUGAGAGCGGAGAGGGUUGGCAAACGACGGGGUAAACAGUGAGGGGGGGAGGAAGCGUUGUACAGCUGCUCCGAUCAAGAUUUGUGUGUCGUAAAUACACCCGACUGGGAUUUUUGGGGUGUGGAUGGUUGGGUGUUGCUAUGGGUUUUUGGCAUGAUGCAUCUUCAACACGGUUGAAGGUUGUAGUGAGGGGCCUCAAACCUUUCUGGAAUCCUGAACACUGAAACUAUUAAAAGGUCCAGGCCUUAGCCAAGUGCAUCUUCGCGGCAUAAAUCAAUUCUAAAUAGAUGCUUGUGUUUCUUUCCAUUUAAAUCACAACCCUACGCUUCUUUUCAGAGAGAGAGAAUGGGGGAGAAAGAGAGGGAGAGAGAAGUGGAGAUGGAGAAUGGGGAGGGAGAGAGAAAAGUGGAGAUGGAGAAUGGGGAGGGAGAGAGAGAAGUGGAGAUGGAGAAUGGGGAGGGAGAGAGAGAAGUGGAGAUGGAGAAAGAGAGGGAGAGAGAAAAGUGGAGAUGGAGAAAGAGAGGGAGAGAGAAGUGGAGAUGGAGAAUGGGGAGGGAGAGAGAGAAGUGGAGAUGGAGAAAGAG